ACCCUCUGGCAAUGGGCAAAGAAACACCUUUGUUGGUGGUGUUGUUCUUCUAUCAGUCAGGGGCAGAGCAGAUGGCUGUCCUUUGUUCAUCCUAGCAUGACGCCUCGCUUGGUGGCCAGCGCUGUCUUAUGCCUAGGACUCACAA